rnacentral:lncRNA from 1 species
GUGUGAGCCGUCGAUCGUCUGAAGGAUUUCAGUAAGAGCUGCUCAUGUUUCCACCGCUGAACCACAUCCUGGGGGCCCAUUUCUGCAGCCAGAGGUUCUGCACGGUGCUCAACAGGCUGAUGGGGAUCGACUUCACUGCGGCUCUUGGGACUCUGCAGAUCAUGGUGGGUCUGUUCAACAUCAGCCUGGGUCCGGGACGAACGAGCACGCACCCUGAGGACCUGACUGACCUGGGAGCAGCCUACUGGCUGGGUGCUGUGUUCGUCACCUCUGGAAUAGUUUCCCUUGUGUUCAAUCGUUGUUGCUGGCUCUCGGCUAUCGUGAACAUAGUGGCGGCCAUUUUCUCCAUCGUUGGCAUUGUGCUGUACGUCACCGACCUGAACGGACCUCCAGUUUACUCCAUGUGUAACCAGACCAGCAGCGCCGUUGAUGUUUAUGAUCACGACUGUUUCCUCGUGGCACAGUUCGCCCAGAAGCUGUUGAGGGACCUGGACAUCGCUUUAGCCGUGAUGAGUGCGCUCCAGCUGUGGGCCAGCAGCAGCGUGGCUCUGUCUCACAUCGUGGCUUCAGGCGCCUGGGAGGAGGGAGCGGUACGAGCGCAUUCUGUGCAUUACAGCUCUGUGCCUGCACUGUCCCAUUCUCAGCUUUGUUGACUGUGUUGUGUGUCAGCAGGUUGGAGAAAAGGAGUUGAUGAAGGAAGUCGUGUCCAGUCCUGGUGCUUAAGUCAUUGUCAUGUAUGCAAUGACUUAACAGCAUUUUAUUUCAAACUGCCUGCUUGUUUCUGCAUCAGUUUUACUUCUGUUGCUCUAAAUAUGAACUGUCUGAUUCAACACAUAUAAAAUGUUAUGGAAAUAAAACAUCUCAUCUCUCUGUACUGGUCA